UUGGGGAGCCUGCUGCUUUUAUUUCCUGGUAAUGAGGCCUUUCAUUUGUUUUUGAGUCUUUAUUUAGGAGCGUGCCUUUUGUAUUUCUCUAAUUUUGUACAUGUGUAUGUUUCGUCACCAUCGGAACAAAUAAUCAUCUGCUUUAACUGGCUGACCAAGAGGUCAAGAGAGAGCUGACCUUGGACCAAGAGAACAUCAGAUAUGGGGGAGGAGAGCGCUACAUGGGGAGAGAUGGAGUGGUGGAAAAUAAAAGCACUUUGCAGGCCCCGAGUGGAGCACCAAUCAACUCCAUCUAUUGGCAGUCCCAGUGGACCACAAACCUGAUGCCUUAUCAAAGGAAUUGAUGGAAAGAACAUGGCACAAACACAACUGAAUCAUAAAGGAUGCUGCAUGACGUAGCGAACAACCUCUCUUCAAUCACGACAGCAAUCGCUGUCCAGGUGGCUGGUCUCAGAUGAUCCCGCAGGAGAAGAAGGCGGAUGUGGAGGUCCCGGGCUGUCAUGGUUACAUGCGGUCUGCGGUUGUGAGGCCGUUUUGAUGUACUGCUAAAUUCUCUAAAAUGACUUUGGAGUCAGCUUUUGGUAAAUAAAUUAACAUUCAAUUCUCUGGCAACAACUCUGGUGGACAUUUCUGCAGUCAGAAUGCCAAUUGCACGCUCCCUUAACUUGAGACAUCUUCAGCAUUGUGCUGUGACAAAACUGCACAUU